AACGUUGUGGAAAAUGAGGGAUUUUGUCACUUGCUAAAAACACUGGAACCAAGGUCGUAAUCUCCCAGGAAAGGAGGAGAGGAAAAUAACAUCUCUAUAGCAACGGCCGGUCUAAAGAAGGUGAGCCGUUGCGGUGCGGGAGAAGACGCAGAGCGACCACGGGCGCCCGGACACAAACGUGCACGUUCAUGCUGGACACAUGGUUUCCAAACUGAUGUAGAUUAGGUACAGCUGAGAUACUUUGAGAGGGGGAAGAGCUCACGGUGGAGCAGGAGAACAGCACCGAGGUCUGACGGGAACAGGAACGUUGGGACUCAUUUAACCAGCGUUAGAGAAAUGCAAAAUGAGAGAAACAUCUAUGUGAAAUUACUUUCAGAAUGUCUGGUUUGUUUUAUUUUUACAGCACGUAUUAAAGAAACUGACUGUUA